CCCUACGGAGCAUUCAUCAUCAUCGUCACGACCACCACACACUAAGAAGCAUGUGAAUCGGCUCCCUGCCACAUGAAUCGAUCCCACGGUGCAUGGGUUAGGUAUAGGAGCUGAUCGAACGGCGCCGCACGUGGGUCCGCCUCACUCAGGCGGGUGUUCCACAGGGGCAGCCGGCGUGUAGCGUCCUCUCGGAGGAGAACAGGCUUUCACGUAUGACACACUUGUACAGUGCAGCGCAGCUGGCCCUGGCACCCAUCCGUUUCUCACUCCGGAACCCUUCCGCGAGUGGAGAGUGGAGACAGUGAGUCCGCAUCAUCAUGUCGACAAGGAGACGCUGCAGCUCCACUUCGCAGGCAUGACGUCACGGCUGAAGAACGCUCAGACCAAUCCUCAUGGCUCUGGAGCCAGUGAAGCAGGCAUCACUCGAGAUGGGGGAUGUGCGCGGUGGGAUCGCGCGGCGCCGUAGGCCACAAUGAACACCAUCGGCGACCGGGCCGCCCAGUUCUACAUUUUGGGGAGGGGGAAGAGAUGUGGAGCCCAGCGGGCACCGGCAAACGGUAGGCCGGGGAGAUGUCCUCUGCCAUGUGGUACACGAACUGCCAUCGGCAGGCCGUGCUGAAUCAGCGACUUGCGGGGCUGGGUGGCUGGAUGCAGAUGGCUCCAGCAGUGGUCUUUGGCACGCAGUGGGAGCUGCAGAGACACAACACACAGAUGGCGAAAGCGGCGGCCGCAGCCCGACAGCUCUCAAAGAGGCAUGCGGGCAUGAACUCAAGAGCGCACGCACAUUUUCGAUCGGCAGCGCAGACGAUUGGCAACCGGGAGUAGGCUCAAAACGCAACCUGGGGGGAGUGUGACGGGCCUGGAAGGGUCGCCUCGCCGAGCAUUUCCAGAUACUCGACAAGAGCCAGGUAGCGGUUGACGGCCGUGCUGCAGGCCAUCGAACCCGAGCUGACAGCUCUCACUCACAUAUUCGCCGAAACUGGAGAGCGCAGCCGCGAGGAGAUGUUCGAAGGACAGGCGUCCUUCUCCGGAGGCCUGAAGCGGCGAGAAGGCGAGUGAUCGGGGAUACAGAGAUGGCGGAGCCAUUGCGCUCGGCUUUCAGACUGCUGUGGCAGAAGCUUGUUGGCGGGGCGACUGCGGCUUAUCCUGUGGCCCCGCAGCCUCGAUACCAGCGGCUCCACGGCAGAGCGUGACGACGGAUUGGAGGGAGAGAGACGCGUAGCUCGACAUGCUUGCUCUUCCAGGUACAGCUGCCGCGCAAACACCUCCACGCUCGAUUUCGAUUCCGGGACGAGGCUGUCUCGUGCCACGAGAUGCGGGUGCCGCGAAUGGGGCUGCGCGUUGAUCCCGAGACUAUGCAGGCACACACACACACUCGUGGCCACCCUUGGAGGCGGUCCCCGCCUACACGUGGGUGUAGAGGCGGCCUCUUCACAGACAACAGUAGUCGCACAGAUCGGCAGCCUGGACAUCGCAGGGAGGGGGAGAGGCAGCGGUGCGACCGUCGGCCACGCUGACGACAGGAGGAGGCGGUGUGCUGGCAAGCUUACUUCUGCGUGGGCACCCUUGAGCGGCGAUCUCGAUAAAGCUCCGCCAAGUCCCUGUGGCGCAGCGAGGGGCGUUCUCCUGGAAAGCUGUGGCUCGCUGCGCACGCUCUGGCGAUUCCAGCUUAUCGGGUGUCGGUGGCUGUUGGAAGCGGCCUGAGGGGUCACGGCAAAGCUGGGCCGAGGUCGCGUCGCCCUCGAGCAUGAAGCGCAGCUGCAGUCCAUCGGCGCUGCAUCCACUGGAAGAAAAAAGACUGGCUUUCGCGCGCGAUCGCCAGCUGCCCACGCCAGGUUGCGGUUACGCAACCGACGAGGCAGACCUUUAGCGCCGACACCGAUUCGUCCUCCGUUGGAUGGGGUGAUUAACCCAUCCAGCGGGGUGGAAGCUGACCAGUAGUGGUUGGUGGUUGAUGGCAGACGCGACUGAAGCACGUGCAGCCACCCAAGUAUUUGGUUCUCUUUGAAACGCGAUCCCUCUCAGAUCCUGCGUACACCCUUUCGUAGGCUGCACGUCCGCGCUUUCCGGUUGGCGUAAGGGACACGAACGUAGCUUCGCCAUCGACCAUGAGCGGCGCCAUCGCUCUGAAAGCCAUGGCCUCCUUCAGAGUGUGAGCUUCCGACACGCCCCCUCGCGCUACAGCCUAGCAGAUGCCCCGAGUCGGACGUUGUGGCGGGCGUACGAGUUCCUUUUUUCGAACUCAUAGUUUCCCAUCCUUUUCUUCGCCGGUACUCCACGUGUGGAUACGGAAGAACAGAACUUUCAGACACACACACACACACACACACACACCAAACAGCAACAGACAAGAAAGUAUCUGUGCAUCAUCAUCACAGCAACGGCGGUGAGGCACGGAGUAGUCCAGAACGAGUUCCUUUCCAUCCCUCACCAUUCUCUGACGAGGUGCGGGUGAAACCACGAG
rnacentral:misc_RNA from 1 species